AUCCCCUUCCCAUCUAGUUUAAAGCCCUGUUGACAUGUCCUGCCAGUUCCUGGGCAAGGACCCAUUUCCCCCUUUGAAACAGGUGAUACUCAUCUGCAGACCUCAGGCCAGGUGCCAAGUAGACCACCCCAUGAUCAAAGAACCCAAAAUUCUUGUGUUUGCACCAGCCUCUCAGCCAUGUGUUUAUGAGAUGUGUUUUCCUGGUCAUUGCAGUGUCCUUCCCUGUCACUGCAGGAAUACAGGCAAAUACUACUUGUAUGCCUACUCCAUCAACUAACCUCCCCAGUCCCCUAAAAUCAUUUUUUAUAGUCCCCAGGUUUCUGUCAGCAACCUCAUCACUGCUGGCCUGAACUAUCAAUAAAGGAUAAUAAUCAGAGGGAUGGAUCAGGCUGGGAAGUUUUCUAGAAAUAUCCCUGACCCGGAUCCCAGGGAGACAGCACACCUCCCUGCGGGUAGGGUCAGGCUGACACAUUGGGCCCUCUGUUCCUCUUAGAAGGGAGUCACCUACGACUAUCACCCUCCUUUCUUUUCUGGAGGAGGCAGUCUUCAAGCAUGGGGCUGACCUCCUCACCUUAGACAAGCUUGAAGGCAGUCCUCCCACCUCAUCCUCACUCACCUCUCACUCCGGUUUCAGGGCUUCAAACCUAUUGCAUAGAGGCACCUGGGGAACUGAGGUAGGUUGGGAUGGGGGUUGCCUGCGUUGCCGAGCUGGGACCUGCUGCCAUUCCUCCUCUCCUCUCAAAUUGGCUCUCUAUUCUCAACUAUGGCAGGGGAGAGCGUCCACUGCAGUUGGGGGAGUGCAGUCUCUGUGUCCUUCUCGCAGAGAGUCAUUCCACCAGUCGAUCUCCCACUCUCACUCUCAUCUCCUAGUCCCUGUCUAAAGGAGGGAGAGAAAGAAGGGGAGAAGGAAAGAGAAAAACAACAACAACAACAACAAAAAAACCCAAAACAACAACAAGAACCAAACCUCUCAGUGCCUACCCCACAAUAUUUCGGCAGUCAGAUCCCAUCCUCACCACCAGUUGUGUUUCAGGGUACGUUUGGAUCUGAGAGGCAGGAUGUCUCAGGAGCAGAGACAAGCAAACUAUGCACUCAGAGCAGCACAGAGGGUUAUGGGUUUUAUUCAACAUACACACACAGGCAUCCAUUUUAGAUAGUCCCCAUAAGAGGGAAGCGGAAACUCCCUAAGCGCACUAUUACUUACCGAGCCUUGAGAGACAGCAAGCCACCAAAAGCAGAGAGCAGGAACAUGCUGGCAGUGGAUUUGAUAGGCAGUGCCAGCAGGGCAUCCCCUGCUUCAAAGUGCACUUUUUGUCUCUCCCCCAGCACAGCCUCUCUCCUGCUUUGAUUCUCUGCAGGGGCUGCAGGGUUUUUUCCCCUUGCACACUCUGCCUGUGCAGCCACUGCGUGAUACGGAGCCCAAGUGGAAGACCUGCUUGCAAAACAAGCCUUUGCAAAAACAAGAUGAACUACCGAGGUCAGCUUUCUCCGCAAAACCUACAACCACAAAUAUCAGUUCCUUUAAAACUGUCAGAAUACUUCGUUCCAUCCCAGGAUCAUUCUUUGGUCAGGGGCCUUUAGGUCCCCAACACAACCCCUUCUGGUCACCUGGGGAGCACGGGUGCAAACAAUCUGCCUGUGCUCCCUGGGGCAGCCACAGCCCUUCACCAGGUGCUCAGUCACCAGUUCAAGCCCUGACCUAACGGUUUCCCUGCAGUGGGUCAGUCAGAGACGUUGGGUGGGAUGCAAGGAGUACCUUUUUAAUACUAAUGGGUGCAGUUAUAUCGCCUGAUGUGCUCUUAAUUGUUCAGAUGGUGCAGAUUUGGUUUUGGAAACUGAGCAUAUCCAAAACUAAAAUCAACACUGUAAACAGCCACAAAUGUUGAUUUGGGAAGAUAAGCAGAAAUGGACGAAAAUAAAUAUUAAUUAAUCCUGUAACACAGGGAAAGAAAUAGGGAACUGACAUGAGAGACGUAAACCAUCGUAGAAUACAUCCAGAGUGUAACCCAUAUGUAUGUGGGCUAUGCUUCUUGUUGUUACGGAGCCUCCAUGCUUGGAAACGUUCAGAAGCUGUCUGGACAUGGUCCUGGAUAACAGGCCCUGCUUUACCAGGGGUGUUGAAUGGGAUGACCUCUGGAGGACCCUUCCAACCUCAACCAUUCUGUGGUUCAGCAUAUGAAAGUGCGUAUGGGAACUGUUGAGUCACGGCCUGAACCUCUGGUUGAUCACCUGAGGCAAAGACUGGGUCAGCUGUGGGAAAACAGGUGAAGGCAAUUCAGCUCUGUGACUGGAUGGGGCGGAGCCUGGCUGCACCUCUCCUGGGCCCCAUUUAAGGGCUGACUGCCCCUGGGGAAGGGUCUCUCUAUAGAGAUCCCCCUGUGGAGUUUUCUACUGCAAGCCUGGAUCCUUGGCUAUGGUUGCAGGAGCCUUUGAAUGAUGUACAAGGCAAACUGUAUGCAAGAUUCUUUGUCUGGAGAAGAGAAGACUCUGCGGAGACCUCAUUGCAACCUUCUAGUAUCUAAAGGGGGCUUUUAGGCCAGAAUAAGAGACCUAACACUAACUGUUCAACGAUGCUGAGUCUGUAAUGAACUUCAGACCAAGACCAUUGUCCAAUGCAACAGGAGUGGUAAUUCCCUGGGACAGCCAAAUGUGGCACGUGGUAAAAGCAACUACUGAGUUAGAAAACAACACAGAAACCCAACUAACUCUGAUGGCUUAACUGGAAUGUAUCUCUGUCCAUUUGUUGUGCUCAAGCUAUUGAAACAGAUUGGUGGCAUGAUGCUUUUUUAGUAUUUUGACUCCUUUCUCAAGUAGGGGUACCAGGGGUCCUGUAUUACACCAGAAUUUUCAUCAACUGCUGCUGGGGAACAUGUAAUUAAAUGAAAUGCAUGCAGUACUUGUGUACAAUCUGCUGUGGGCCACAAAGAGUGUUGUUGCACACCAGUGGAGCAAGUCAGCAGGGGAACCCCAGCUGUAACAGGAGUGCAGCUGGUGUAUGUGCUGCCUCACCUCUAGCAGGAGAGUGGGAGGAUGGCAUAGUGCUAUUAGUCUUGACAGAAGUAGGAGUGGUCUUAUCCUUCCGUGAAUGCUUUGCUUGUUUCAAAAGGAAAGAGUAUGCUUACAUACCCAGCUGAAUGUCUCACAUGUGCUGCUGUGCUGACAGUUGAGGUGGUUUCCAGCCGGAAGGGAAUGAGCUGAUGAGCCUCCAUAGUGGUCUGCUUGUCCUUGGAGAAGGUCAGUCAGACCAGAGGGUGGCUGUGAGCAAGAAGUCCCGCUGGAGCACAUGGCCCUAUGCAGCCAAGGCCUCAAGGCAGCCUGCAGCAGUGUAUAGCAGAGCUGUGGGAAAGAGGCAUCUCUGCUGAGACUCUCUGGUAUGAAAGCUACUGAGAAGGAGUCAUACAGUCAUAUGAGUUGAAAGGGACCUUUAGAGGUCAUCUCGUCCAACUCCCCUGCAAUGAAGAGGGACACCUACAGCUAAAUCAGGUUGCUCAGAGACCUGCCCAGCCUGGCCUUUAAUGUCUCUAGGGACAAGGAUUGAAGCACCUGUCUGGGCAGCUUGUUCCAGUGCCACACCACUCCAAUUUUAAAAAGUUUCUUCCUUAUAUCCAAUCUAAAUCUUCCCUCCUUGAGUUUGAAACCAUUUCCCCUUGUCCUAUCACAACAGACCCUGCUAAAGAGUCCAUCUGCUUCUUUAUUAUACCCCCCUUUAGUUACUGAAAGGCUGCUCUCAGAUCUCCCCAGAGCCUUCUCCAGGCUGAACAGCCCCAGCUCUCUCAGCCUGUCCUCAGAGGAGAGGUGUUCCAUUGCUUGGAUUAGUUCUGAGGCCCUCCUGUGGACACACUCCAACAGGUCCAUGUCUCUCCUGUAUUGAGGACUCCACAUCUGGACACAGUACUCCAGGUGAGGCCUCAGCAGCCCCAAGGGGCGGGAUCACCUCCCUUGCCUUGCUAGCCACACUUUUGAUGUGGCCCAGGAUACGGGGCAUUUUCUGGGCUGUGAGGGCUGAGUGAAGUCCUAUUUGUGCUUUGCCUGAGCUCACAGAAAGAUCAAGGCUGAGGUGGAGUAGUUGGGUCUAAUAAUCAGAUGAGGAUAACCCAAUGGGAAAACAACAUGGUGAGGUGGGGAGCCAGGCUGCCUGCAGCGGUGUCCCUGCCUGUAGCACUGUGUAAAGCUGUCAUUACAUCAUUAGUGGUGUCAGAAAAAACACAGGUAUGUCUGUAGCAAAGCUGGGACCGGGAUACUGAAGAACAAAGGAUGGGAUGUAAGACCCACCAAAGACGAGCAGAGGAUGAGUCUGCCAGCAGCAGGAGUGCCAGCACCUACAGCUGGUAGUAGUGUUGACCCAUGCACAAGGACACUUGGAGGACAUCUGGUGUCACUGACUGGGCUCCCUAUUGGGUUGUGUGGGGGAACAGGCCUGUGCCUCAGCAUGAACAGAACUGCAGCUCGGUGUAGUGGUGCAGCCUCAGAGCACUGCCAUCUCAGCAAAUGCCGCUACUGUGCUUUCACCUUUGUUCAAGUGCAGAGUUGGGCUCCUCAUCAUGACCUGAUCUGAUUGGUACCAGAACUGAACAGCAGCAGGCUGUGGUCCUCUGCCUUCCCCUGAGCUGGGGCACCACUCAGGGUACGCUUCUUAUGACUCACUGCUGACUGACAUCAAAGAAGAGGAGCCCUUGUGAGACAGUUGGCCUCACCUGCUGAGAGCUGAUGAAUGGGGAGCAGGUAAUUCACCAGCAGAAAGGUCCUUGUACACAACUGACUUCAGAAUUCUCCUCUUGGAUACCACGUGUGUGAGCUUCAAGUCAACCUCACUGUUCUCAAAUCUUCAACUAAACAUCUGUAUUUGGUUGUAGUAUGUUCUAUGGGAUCUUUGUGUCAAGUUGGCUAAUUAUUUGAUUCUUAGUGAUUUAUCUUAAAGGUAUUAUUAGUUCAUAAAUUGCUGCUAAGUCAGAGUUCUGUAAAAACCUAUUCCCAGCAGUUGGUGCUGGAGGUGUGUGUGACUGCAUGGAUCCGAGAUCUGCUCACAACUUCCUGCUGUGCAUAGUGCUCUGUGUAAUUAUGGCAUGGGGUUACUGGUGUGUUACUUAAGAUUAUUGGUUACUUUUCUGUUUUCCCACUUUCUUUGUAGUGUGUUCAUCAGCCAAUAAACAGUUUGCCUCAAGUA